rnacentral:misc_RNA from 1 species
GACCCUGGUCUUGGUCUUAUUGUAUAGGAGUUUUUGAAAUAAAGGAGCAAUAAAGCCCUCUUAUCUAUCUUAUAUAGAAGAAGAAGGGAAUUAUUGCUCCUUUAUUUUCUUUUUUUUUAUUCUAGUAUUUUAUUGGUACUUUUAUUGGUACUCGGACUUCAAUAUGGAAGUUUUUUUUUUAAUUUCAUAUUCGAUUUAUUUAAUAUUUAAAUAAAUCGAAUAUGAAAUUAAAAAAAAAAAAUCUAAAAAAUUAGAAUAGAGGGCGGAUGUAGCCAAGUGGAUUAAGGCAGUGGAUUGUGAAUCCACCAUGCGCG